UACAGAGGGGGCAAGCGUUGUUCGGAAUUACUGGGCGUAAAGGGCGCGUAGGCGGCCUGUUAAGUCGAACGUGAAAUCCCCGGGCUCAACCCGGGAACUGCGUCCGAUACUGGCAGGCUUGAAUCCGGGAGAGGGAUGCGGAAUUCCAGGUGUAGCGGUGAAAUGCGUAGAUAUCUGGAGGAACACCGGUGGCGAAGGCGGCAUCCUGGACCUGUAUUGACGCUGAGGCGCGAAAGCCAGGGGAGCAAACAGG
rnacentral:rRNA from 1 species